rnacentral:rRNA from 1 species
UACGUAGGGUCCGAGCGUUGUCCGGAAUUAUUGGGCGUAAAGGGCUCGUAGGCGGUUAGUCGCGUCGGGAGUGAAAACUCAGGGCUCAACCCUGAGCGUGCUUCCGAUACGGGCAGACUAGAGUUCGGCAGGGGAGACUGGAAUUCCUGGUGUAGCGGUGAAAUGCGCAGAUAUCAGGAGGAACACCGGUGGCGAAGGCGGUUCUCUGGGCAUGACCUGACGCUGAGGAGCGAAAGCGUGGGGAGCGAACAGG